UUUUUUUUUUUUUUUUUUUUUUAAAAAGACUUCUGGAUGGUUGCUGACCCUAGUUGCUGUUACCAACCUGUUCUGCUCUCUUCUUUUGAGUGCUGUGAUCUUCUCUGGCUCCUGGAUUGCCUGACCAUGUGGGGUUUUGUAGCCUAGUUCCUGCUACUCUAACAGAACUGUUGUCCUGGUGCAAGCAUCUGAAGAGCCUUUUAGUCCAGCCGUUGGAGCUCUGAGCCUGCAAGGCUUGUGAAACUGAGGAGCAGUAGAAGAUCUGAGAGCUGUUGAAGGAUGGAGUCCUGUGGGACCAAGCCAGAACUUCAUGCCCUCUGUUUCACCUUGGAGGCAAUGCUCUGUCAGGUUCACAAAGCUUGCAUGUGUUUCUUCCAAAUAUUUUUAAACUUCAGAGCCUGAGAAGAUAUUGCACUCUUCUAGAAAGAAAUUGCUGUGUUUGCUUCACUGUUGUUAACUGCUGCCAUAAGUAGCAGCUAGCAUAAAAACAAAAGUAAAACAAAAUGUUAGUGGAUCUGUAAAGGUGUCUCAAAAUGAUUCCAAUCACGAUAAAAAAAAAAAAUCUAGAAGUUUGCACAAACAUAUAUACAUAGCUAUACUGUCACUUCCUUCAGAUUCCAAGGUUUUCAGGUACUGGGUUACUCAACGCUGAAGGAAAACACAACGGAAAUGGCCAAAAAAACCCACUCUUAUUCCUAUAAACGUUAUGGAAGUACAGCAAAACUCCAAACGACUUUCAGACAUUAGAGAUUGAAGCUAUGAAUGUUUUCUUACCUAUCUAUACUAUCUUAUAUAUACGCUUAUCUGUUUUAUAGCUAGUUAUACUUAUCUAUACUAUUUUAAUAUUACCUGCACAAAAAACACCAAAAAAAAGCACAAAAAGAAAAAAAACCCAACUUUUGAAAAAGGAAACGUACUGUGUUGCAGGUGGGAAUUUAAAUACUUUUAAAAGUCAGAAAAUAUUAGGACAUGCUCAGGUAAAAUUCUGCUUGGGAGUUGUGGGGUUUUUCUCUGUUCUUCAGAUAUACUUAUCUCCUUGUGAAUUAGAGACCCCUUCAGUGUUGCUUUUGGAUCAAACCUGGAUGAUCAGGCUUAUUCUAUUACUGCUUUUAGUAGAAGCAAUUAAAAACAAACAAACAAACAAAAACAAACAAGCUACUGUUGGGCUACCUAUGAAAAAGGGAUGAUGAUUUAGAGUUACGAGGGAUGUGUGCAGAAAAGGUCAGAAUCUGGGAAGAGCUCAAGGCCAGUUUAAUGUGCUUGUUUCCCCAACUCUCGCUUCCCAAUAGCUUCCAGAGAGAUCAUUAAAGUCGGCAUGUGCUGAGAUCCUCAAAACAUUGUGGACAUCUGUAAACUUCUUUAUCUAGAAAAAAACUACUUUUUUUUUUAACAUCCACCAGUAGCUGAGCCAAGCUUGUUUCAAGCAAGGAAAAUGUGUAAUAUCAAAGAUUUACUUAAUUUUCAUUGCUGCACAUAAAACAUCUGACAGUA